AGCGAACGCUGGCGGCAGGCUUAACACAUGCAAGUCGAACGCCCCGCAAGGGGAGUGGCGGACGGGUGAGUAACGCGUGGGAAUGUGCCUUUAGGUUCGGAACAACACAGGGAAACUUGUGCUAAUACCGGAUAAGCCCUUCGGGGGAAAGAUUUAUCGCCUUUAGAGCAGCCCGCGUCUGAUUAGCUUGUUGGUGAGGUAAUGGCUCACCAAGGCGACGAUCAGUAGCUGGUCUGAGAGGAUGGCCAGCCACAUUGGGACUGAGACACGGCCCAAACUCCUACGGGAGGCAGCAGUGGGGAAUCUUGCGCAAUGGGCGAAAGCCUGACGCAGCCAUGCCGCGUGGAUGAUGAAGGUCUUAGGAUUGUAAAAUCCUUUCACCGGG
rnacentral:rRNA from 1 species